UUUCUCUCUCUCAUGUUGUUGCACAACUCAAGGAAACCCCGGAGCUCUCCGGCGAGAUUUCUUCAAUUUUUCCAGUUAGGUAAACCUCGAGUCUCCCUUUACCUAUUCUAGAUUGAAACUUGGAUGUGAUUUUGUUAUCUCGUUAUUUUUCUAAGGUUUUUAGAACGAAAUCGACUCAGAGGAAUGCUCACCCAUCUCCGGCGAACCCGUGUGAGUUGGGGGAUGUUCUGGUCGUCUCCGGCCAUUCUACGGCAAAAUGAAGGUAUAAACACAUUCCUCUUGUCUUGUGCUUCAUUUUGAUACCUAGAUCGGACCCUAAAGGCUAUGUUUGCAGUCGGCCGGAGCUGUAGAAGCUCCGGCGUUCUUCUCCGGUGCACCCAAGCCUUUUAGGCCGUUUCUCAACCCACGGGCCUUAAGCCUGUUUUGGUUUUAGCCCAGUAGCCCAGCCCAUUUCCUUUUUAUUUUUAUUUUUUUUGUUUUAUUUUUUUUGUUUUAUUUCCUUAAAACCCAAAAACGCCUUCGGGCCGUUCCUAAUAAGGCCUUCGACCCGUUUUUUCUUCAACCCAAAAACCCAUUUCCUUUUUUGUUUCUUUCAUUUAAAUUGUUUUAAAAACCCUUAGGGUCUUUGGACCAUUUCUGAUAAGGGCUUUAAGCCCAAACCCUAAAAACCCAACAUCCUAAAUCUAUUUUCCUUUUUUUUUUUUUAAACCCUUUUGACCCACAACCUUUAGGGCCCAAUCGGCCAAACCUAAAUCCAAGCCCAGUCUGACCAUUUGAUCGUUGACUCGGUCAACGGUCAGUGUUGACUUUGACUUUGACCGGUCAACAAUCAACAUUGACUUUUAGGGUUGACUUUUUGGAGUUUCGUCCAGGACCUCUUUCAGGCUAAUUUCGACGCCCUGGACUCAUUUUUGAAGUUCGUUUUUCCAAAUUCAAUCGUUUGAAUAGAGUUUGACUAAAGGUACCCCCUUUAUGUGAUUAGGUGUAAUUGUUGGCGUUGAUUCCGUUAUUCCUUUUUGGUACAGCUUGGCACCAUCGGUGUACAGUGAGUGGACCCCUUCUAAAAUUUACAUAAUUUUAUAGCUUAAUUUCAUAAAUGAAAUGCGUGCCUUACGAGUUUAUGAACUGAUUUUAUGUUAAGCAUGUUUAUUGAAAUGUUGAUUAUCGUCUCGUUAUUUUGUAAGGAAUUAAUUAUUAGCCUAUAUUGAGCUAUAGUUUGAUAUAUCGUAUUUUUUAUAAAAACCAUGAACUGGUAGACUAUUUGAUGGAUGACGAUAGGAUGCUAGAACAUGUUUUAGAAACCUGUCUUUAUAGUAUAAACGAUGGAUGACUUUAUACUAUGAAGUGGUUAUUUAUGAGAGGCGUAACUAUUUGUGCGUACGUAGUGAACACUAUGCCACCUGGGGCGAGGAUCUGGUGUUGGCAGAUAGGCCGGGAGAAAUAAUCCCUAGCUACAGGCUGAGGGACACGGAGCAGGUAAUGGGCUGGGAGUUGGUAAUCUCUGGUUACGGGCGCAGAGACCAUAGUGCUGGCAUAGGGCCGGGAAUUAUAUUUAUUCAGUAAUCUUACUGGCAGCACACUGCGCUUACGAGAUGAUCUGUGAGACGAUUCGUGUUUUGAUUUCAGUGAUGUUUUUCCGCGAUAUGUCUUUUGAAAUAUUUUUGGCAUGCUAGGGUUUUCAAUAAACCUAUCACUUAUUAUGCUAGUAGUUUUCUUUAUAUAAACUUAGGGGUUAGUAUGUUGAUAACUGUUUUAUUAUAGGCUUUUUAUUCAAAAUGGUCCUUAAGAUUUGCAUCAUCCAUAAGUUUGGUCCCUGAGAUUUAAAAUCAAUAGAAGUAGUCCCUGAGAUUGUCCACCAUCCAUGAUUUUGGUCCUUCCGCUGAAGCUUUUGGCUGGAAGUUUGGGCAAUUUUCAAAGCUUCGUAACUCAAUCGUUUCUUAACCAAAUUCGACCCGUAAUAUAUCAAAAUGAAGAUAGGCAAGUAUAGAAUAAGAUUAUAUCUAUUUGGAAGCCCAAUGGUUUCCAGAGAUGGUCAGAAAAUAGCCUCAAAAUUGACUGGUCCGAGGGAAAACUGGAAAACUCGCCGAAAACUGGGUAAACUUUAAACGUUCAUACCUUCUUCAAUACUCAACGAAAUUAAGUGAUUCAAAAACAAAAAUCAUACUUAUUGAUGAUAAGAAGAGAAUGGUACCUUUUUCAACGGCUAAAUCACCGUGGUUUGGCCGGAAAACGGCUCGAAAGUUGCUGACUCGUUUUUCAACAGCUAAUUUUGAGUUAUUUUCCAGCCAAACAUUGCGAGUUAGCCAUUGAAAAAGGUACCAUUCUCUUCUUCUCGUUGAGAAUUAUGAUUUUUGUUUUUGAAUCACUUGAUUUCGUUGAGUAUUGAAGAAGUUAUGAACGUUUACCCAGUUUUCGGCGAGUUUCCGGAAACUUUUCCAGUUUUCCCUCGGACCAGUCAACUUUGAGGUUAUUUUAUGACCAUCUCCAUUAAUCAAUGGGCUUCCAAAUAAUAUAAUCUUAUUCUACACUUUCCUAUCUUCAUUUUGAUAUAUUAUGGGUCGAAUUUGGUUAAGAAACGAUUGAGUUACGAAGCUUUGAAAAUUGCCUAAACUUCCUGCUAAAAGCUUCAGCGAAAGGACCAAAAUUAUGGAUGGUGGACAAUCUCAG
rnacentral:lncRNA from 1 species